CUUAAUUAGAGCCAAUUAGAGACACAAUGAGACUUUUGCAGGGAAUUCUGGGAAGGAGACUCUCACUAGAUCCUUGCUUGACUUGAGAGGUAUGAGGUUGGAACGGCUGUAGCCAUCUCCAUCUAUUGAGGGAACACGGGUUUGAGAACACAGUCAAGUCAGGACGAGAACAAGAGACGCUGGAUCUUGAGGACAGUGCUUGAGCCCUCGAAUCAAUCAAUGUCUAAACUAAUGGAGGGUCGAUGAAGACAUUUGGCCAGAGGACCCUGAAACACCUGAAUCCCACCUUUGGCUGGCUAGCCCCAUUUCUCAGCAGUGCCUUCACAGGAGCGGCCUGGAGGUUGACAGAACAAGAUGGAAGCCCUUCAAGAAAAUUGUCAAUAAAGAAAGACUGAAAAUGGGCAUAGCUUUCCUGAGACACGCUGGCUGACCCAAGGUGGCAAGGAGGCGUGACAGCAAUCUUCAGAGCCACCCCUUCAGUUGCCAGCCAGCUGCUCAGGGAUGCACCAUCUCGCUUUGCUGGAGCAGAGCCUUGCUCCCUCCUCUCGUCCCCAUGCCCGCCCACACCGCUUUCCCAGAGGUCAGCCACAAGUUCACAUCAAGCAACAAGCAGUGAUUACAAACUGAGUGCCUGCUGGGAAUAUCUUUCUAGUGUCAAGCAACCAUUAAAAGCACUUAAGGAAAUCACAAAAGGGAGGCGAAAGAAUACUUACAGAGAGCUAUAGGAUGGGGAGGGCAGAAGGGAAAGCGUCAGCCCACCUCCUACCUUGGAGGGAAAAACAUGACAUAAAAAGCAAAGUUGGUUCUAAAGGAUGAGCCUGAAAAAUGGAAACUGAAGAACACUGUAUCUGCCAACCACUCUCCUGCUGCAGCCAAAACACUUCAUGGUGCCUGGGAAACCUUUCGCUAACACCGAGAAAAUUACUGUGUUUUUUAAAAAAUUUAUUCAAUGAGUAUGCAUUAUAAUAGGUAUCAUUAUAAUCUCUUGUCCAAUUAGGGCUGCAUCUCUGUGAAGAAGGCAUUAUGAUUCUCUGUUUUACAGAUGUGGAAAAUGAGGUUCAGAGGGGUCAGUGACUUGACCACAUUUGGAUCUCAGGAGUGACUGGCUGCAAAACUCAUGUUCUUCCCACUAAAAAGAAGGCUGGGUGGGACUGUGAAUCUUGCCAGGCCUCAGUAGCUGUUACUCCUGGGUUAAUGAGGUGGUAGUAGUGUAAGUGGUGUGCAUUGUGUGGUGGCUUUUCCUGUCCACCUGGUUAAAAGAAGAGUCAACCUAUUUAUCUUAAGUGAGCCAAUGGAGUCUUUGAUGGAAUCUUUCUUCAGUCUUCUAGUUGUCAAUAACCAUCUAAAAGGAAAGGACUGGGAACUGAGAUAAGCAGAUGAUGUAACUUUGGGAAAGUCAUUUUCCUGAGUUUUAGUUUUCUCAUUUGUAAAAUGCAUCCAGUAAGACCUAUGUAAUAGAGUAGAUGUGAAUGCUACUAAAGACUAAAGAGAAACCCUUUUUAAAGUUCUUAAUAUUACAAUGGGCACAAGGGUAAUAUUUUAUAAAUAAUAGUUGUAACUUGUUUUAUUUCAAAUUAAAAGUUUUGGAAAAU
rnacentral:lncRNA from 10 species